rfam:Danio rerio chromosome 19, GRCz11 reference primary assembly.
UGUAAACAUCCUUGACUGGAAGCUGGGUGUAGGGUUUGUGAAGGCUUUCAGUCGGAUGUUUGCA